GAUGAAGAACGUAGCGAAAUGCGAUAAGUAGUGUGAAUUGCAGAAUUCAGUGAAUCAUCGAAUCUUUGAACGCACAUUGCGCCCCUUGGUAUUCCAUGGGGCAUGCCUGUUCGAGCGUCAUUUGUACCUUCAAGCUCUGCUUGGUGUUGGGUGUUUGUCUCGCCUCUGCGUGUAGACUCGCCUUAAAACAAUUGGCAGCCGGCGUAUUGAUUUCGGAGCGCAGUACAUCUCGCGCUUUGCACUCAUAACGACGACGUCCAAAAGUACAUUUUUACACUCUUGACCUCGGAUCAGGUAGGGAUACCCGCUGAACUUACGCAUAUCAAUAAGCGGAGGA
rnacentral:misc_RNA from 1 species